ACGGGAGGCAGCAGUGAGGAAUAUUGGUCAAUGGGCGAGAGCCUGAACCAGCCAAGUAGCGUGAAGGAUGACGGCCCUACGGGUUGUAAACUUCUUUUGCCGGGGGAUAAAAAACGGGACGUGUCCCGUCUUGCAGGUACCCGUGCGAAUAAGGACCGGCUAAUUCCGUGCCAGCAGCCGCGGUAAUACGGAAGGUCCGGGCGUUAUCCGGAUUUAUUGGGUUUAAAGGGAGCGUAGGCGGGCCUUUAAGUCAGUGGUAAAAGCGUGUGGCUCAACCAUACCACGCCAUUGAAACUGGAGGCCUUGAGUGCACACAGGGAUGCUGGAAUUCGUCGUGUAGCGGUGAAAUGCUUAGAUAUGACGAAGAACUCCGAUCGCGAAGGCAGGUGUCCGGGGUGUAACUGACGCUGAGGCUCGAAAGUGCGGGUAUCAAACAGGAUUAGAUACCCUGGUA
rnacentral:rRNA from 1 species